rnacentral:rRNA from 1 species
AUGAGCACACUACGGAUAUCAUCAGGAAAUUCAUGUUGUGACGAAAAACUGGUUCUACCUGUAAUAAGUAGACUAAUUCUUGCAAAACAUAAAUCUGCUUGGACAGAAAAUCCUCUAAGACUAAUAGGCAUAACUGUUAUUUGGGGAGAUCUUGACCAUCAAUAUUCUGAAUUGCACAAACUUAGUACCUUUGGAUGUAAACAGGGGAUUCCAUCCAGUGAAUAUCAAGGGGAUACAUACCUCUGGUGUAGCUCAGGCGACAUUGGACGGAUGUUCUUGUUCCUCCGGCAAACUCGGCGCUUCUUCCUCGGGCGAACUUGGCAGCGUCGGAGAAUGAGAAGAAUACAAGGAGGUGUCCGGAGAGGACUGGAGGCAGCGUAG